rfam:Aedes aegypti strain Liverpool supercont1.875 genomic scaffold, whole genome shotgun sequence.
CCUCUCAUAGCGUAGGAAUAACGCGCCCUAACUAGAAAUCAGGGAGUCGUGAGUUCGAUUCUCACUGAGAAGA